ACAACAGCUGGAAACGGCUGCUAAUACCCCAUAGGCUGAGGAGCAAAUUGAGGAAUCCGCCCAAGGCAGGGGCUCGCGUCUGAUUAGUUAGUUGGUGAGGCAAUGGCUUACCAAGGCGACGAUCAGUAGCUGGUCCGAGAGGAUGAUCAGCCACACUGGGACUGAGACACGGCCCAGACUCCUACGGGAGGCAGCAGUGGGGAAUUUUCCGCAAUGGGCGAAAGCCUGACGGAGCAAUGCCGCGUGAAUGGUGUUUGGCCCACGGGUCAUGAACUUCUUUUCUCGGAGAAGAAAAAAUGACGGUUCUGAGGAAUAAGCAUCGGCUACCUCUGGGCCAGCAGCCGCGGAAGACAGAGGAUGCAAGCGUUAUCCGGAAUGAUUGGGCGUAAAGCGUCUGUAGGUGGCUUUUCAAGUCCGCCGUCAAAUCCCA
rnacentral:rRNA from 1 species